rnacentral:lncRNA from 1 species
AUGCCACUCAUCCAUCUUGUCACCUCAUACUCAUUGCCAUCCCCUGCCCACCCCACUGCUACCCAGCCAUCCAUCUUUUCACCUCAUACUCACUGCCAUCCCCUGCCCACCCCACUGCUACCCAGCACUCAUGGCUAUCCUGUGUCCAUUCCUGUCCCCAUGCCACCCUGUCCCCUUGCCACUUCAUCCUUAUUUCCACCCUUGUCCUAUGGUCACCCCAUUCCCAUGACCACAUCAUCCCUACUGCCACCCUAUCCUUAUUGUCACCUUGUCCCCAUUGACACCCCAUCUUUAAUUCCUUUGCCACCCCGUUCCCAUGGCCACUGUGUCCUUAUUUCCACCCCAUCCCCAUGGCCACCCAUUCCUUUGACCACCACGUCCUUAUUUACACCCCAUUCUCACGGCCACCCCAUCCUUAUUUCCACCCCAUCCCCGUCCCCACCCCGUGGCCACCCCCCAUCCUUAUUUCCACCCCAUCCCCGUCCCCGCCCCGUGGCCACCCCUUUGUGGCGGGUGCUAACAGGCGUCCCGUCCCGCUUGCCGGUCCCCGUGCCACCAGAUGCUGCCGCUCCGUGUCACACCAUCAUGUCUCUAGCGGAGUGUAGCGGGGAGAGCAGUCGGUGCCUUUGUUUCUCCUGCUCUCCGCACAGCUGUCACUUCCAGUGAUCAGUAGAAAAAUCAUCACCCCACCGGAUCAUACAUAUGGAACGGUGUCUGUGCGGAAUAUUUAUUGUAACAUGUGUCGGGGCCGCGCCGGUCAUGAGCCCCGGGCUGGGCUCGUGCUGUGCCAGCCCUGGAAGGAUGCUCCAGUCCUCCCUGCUGGGGAGGUGUGGGUGUCCCCACGGUGGUGUCCCCACAGUGGGGAACUCGGGGCUGACUGCUCUUGGUGCAGCAUCCUCUGCCUCGACUGGGAAAGUGCUCCCUCUCCCAGCCUGUCCCCACCGUGUUCCCAAAGGAUGUUUUCAAGCUGGGGGAGCAGCGGAGGUGUUGGGGGUGUGCAGAGCUGCAGCUGGUAAAGCUGUAGGGGAACAGAAGCCCGGGGGCUGCCCCGUGCUGGGGUCACCUGUGGGGUGGCCUUUGGGGUCUCCACGGGCAGGAGGCGAAGGCGCGCGGGCGCCUUGGCCCCGUCAGUGUCUCCGGGAGCUCUCUCCCAUCUCUGGAGCUGUCAGCUCGGCACCUUUCAUGUGUGAUGGGUAAACAGCGUGGCGCGCCUGCCGGGGAAGGCUGUUGGAUCCCUGCUGGUGCUAAAGCGGCGUCUGGCAGGGACGGGGAACGUGCCGUCGCCUGCGCGAGGCUCGGCGGACGUGCCGCCCCGCUGGGGCUCCGUGCGGCUUUCCUGAUGGAGAGCAGAGCCCCAGCCGCCCCCGUGUCAGGGUGAAGCUGUGCUGAUGGGAUCCCUUCAGGUGUGCCACUCCCACCACCAGAAACCAGUUCCCACAUCCCCAUCCCAUGCGCUGGUGGCUGAAGGGGAUGCAGAGCCCCCCCCCCCCCCCCGCGGGGGGGGGGGGGGGGGGGGGGGGGGGGGGGGGGGGGGGGGGGGGGGGGGGGGGGGGGGGGGGGGGGGGGGGGGGGGGGGGGGGGGGGGGGGGGGGGGGGGGGGGGGGGGGG